GUGCCAGCAGCCGCGGUAAGACGAACCGUCCAAACGUUAUUCGGAAUCACUGGGCUUAAAGGGCGCGUAGGCGGCCGAGCGGGUCACGGGUGAAAUCCUCCAGCUUAACUGGAGAACUGCCCUUGAUACCACUGCGGCUCGAGGAAGGAAGGGGUCAUGGGAACUGUCGGUGGAGCGGUGAAAUGCGUUGAUAUCGACAGGAACGCCGGUGGCGAAAGCGCAUGACUGGUCCUUUUCUGACGCUGAGGCGCGAAAGCCAGGGGAGCAAACGGGAUUAGAUACCCCGGUAGUCC
rnacentral:rRNA from 1 species